GACGAACGCUGGCGGCGUGCCUAACACAUGCAAGUGGAGCGACGAACCGGGCUUCGGCCCGGGGCAAAGCCGCGAACGGGUGAGUAACACGUGGGUAACCUGCCCUGAUGAUCGGGACAACCCGAGGAAACUCGGGCUAAUACCGAAUGUGCCCUCUGACCGCAAGGUCGCUGGGGAAAGGAAGCUUCGGCCUCCGCAUUGGGGAUGGGCCCGCGGCCCAUUAGCUUGUUGGUGAGGUAACGGCUCACCAAGGCGACGAUGGGUAGCUGGUCUGAGAGGACGAUCAGCCACACUGGGACUGAGACACGGCCCAGACUCCUACGGGAGGCAGCAGUGGGGAAUCUUGCGCAAUGCGCGAAAGCGUGACGCAGCAACGCCACGUGGGGAAGACGGCCU
rnacentral:rRNA from 1 species